ACACACACACACACACACACACCGGGAAACCAUUGACGCCGUCGAGACCUGGCUUGAUAAACACCACCUGAAACUCGCCAAGCAUAAAACCGAGAUGGUUGUUCUGACACGUCAAAAAUGGUUCCCAAAACCAUUCACUGUGGACAUGGGAGGAACAACACUGACGUCAACAAGGGUCCUGCGCUAUCUAGGGGUAAUGAUAGACGAGAAGCUAUCUUUCCGCGAACAACUUGACAGUG